CAAAUAUAUAUAUAUAGUCUUGUGAGUCCAAUAGUCAAUCAUGCUUUUCGCUAUAUCCAAUGUACACAACAAUGAACGUUAUAUUACUACAUUAUGCAACAAAGGAACUAUGUAACUUUGAAUCCUUAUCUUUUAUGUGCCUCACUCUUUUUCAUAUAUAAAGAGUAGGGCGGCAACAGUCUCAGACUACAAGGAACAAGGUCCAUAUUUUGGAGUUAUUAUAAGGCCAUCCUUGUCUUGAUCUUAAUAAAUAAUUAUUAUGAUAAUAACAUUUGAACCAAAUAAUGACAACUCCUAGGAAAUAUCUUCAAAAGCAGUUAUGAUAUUGUUAAAUUUACAUGACAAACUUGACCAGAAUAAUUCCUACAAUUAUUGGCAUAAGACACAAUCCUUAUUGAGAUAUAAUUAAUCUUUUAAUAUUAGUUAGCUUUAUCAAAAGUUUAAACUUUCAUCUCCUCACCGACACUUGUUGAUGUUGAUUUAAAUAACAUCAAUGUAGGUGGCUGAUGUUGAACCAUGUUUCAUUUUUAUAGAUUUUAUUAUUCUUGCUAAAUAAUAAUUUUCAAUGAAAGUCUU